GCGUAGCUCAGCGGAUAGAGCGUCUGCCUCCGGAGCAGAAGGUCGUAGGUUCGAAUCCUGUCGCG
rnacentral:tRNA from 1 species